rnacentral:rRNA from 1 species
GAUGAACGCUGGCGGCGUGCCUAAUACAUGCAAGUCGAGCGAACGGACGAGAAGCUUGCUUCUCUGAUGUUAGCGGCGGACGGGUGAGUAACACGUGGAUAACCUACCUAUAAGACUGGGAUAACUUCUGGAAACCGGAGCUAAUACCCGAUGAUAUUUUGAACCGCAUGGUUCAAAAGUGAAAGACGGUCUUGCUGUCACUUAUAGAUGGAUCCGCGCUGCAUUAGCUAGUUGGUAAGGUAACGGCUUACCAAGGCAACGAUGCAUAGCCGAACUGAGAGGGUGAUCGGCCACACUGGAAGUGAGACACGGUCCAGACUCCUAAGGGAGGCAGCAGUAGGGAAUCAUCCGCAAUGGUCGAAAGCCGGACGGAGCAACGCGGCGUGAGAGAUGAAGGUCUUCGGAUCGUAAAACUCUGUUAUUAGGGAAGUACAGAUGUCUAAGUAUCUGCGCACAUCUUGACGGUCCCUAAUCAGAAAGCCACGGCUAACUACGUG